UCCGUCUCCCCUCAGCCCCGCCCCCCCAGCUUCUUCCUUCUGCUCCCCUCAGCCCCCCCAACAGCGUUUGCAUUGAAGGUACUGGGAGGAGACAGAGGGGACGCCUGGGGACAGCAGCACCACAAGAGCGUGUGAAGGAAAAUGCAAGGAAGACACAAAACUGCUUUAAAGUCAACUGAGCAGCGCCGAGUCAGUGUGUCUAAUGCGGUGAGAGUGUGAUAUAUAUGUGAGACAUGCUGACAGCCGUGUUAUUAAGUAGCGUGGGCGGGCCUAAUGACGUCAGCGCACCAUGUGACAGCCCGGUUCCAAGCACAAGAAGUGACACUCUCGGCUCUCCGGCGCCGAAUUAUUGCUUCCCAUUCAGAGCCGAUAACGCUCCCUUCGCUGAUUGGUCAGUUCUGGUCACAUGUCCUGUUGGCACGGAACACGUGACGGAGUGCCGCGCUCUGAUUGGCUCUCGGCGAGUAAAGGUUAUGAGGGGAGAGAACAUGGCAGCCGAGUCAUUAAAGCGGAGAUUCAGGCCGUGUUCAAGCGGCUUCGGGCUUCGCCUACCAACAAGAAUGCGUUUUUCCAUCAGCACAGCGCCCCCACCAGCGACACCAAUGCAAAGUAUAACAGCCGCAGCGCCCAGAUGUAACGGGAGAAGAUCAGACAGCUGGCGAAUGCUGCCAUGUCUAAGCCCAGCACUGAUGUGAGUGAGCGAGGGAGGCCAUUGGGUAACAGUGCCCACAUGUGACAGCCCGGUUCAGUUCCGUGCCUCCUAACUGAGGAGUGUUUUAUUAGGUUUUGGUCCUCGCUUCGUGUGAGGAGGGAGUCGUUCAGUCUCCAGGGUGCUAUGUUACUAGUAGAUCUUCCUCGUCCUAUUUCUACACCUAUUGGGGCGGGGUCCGACCAGUUUUGAAUUCCAAUCCAUGCUUUUGUUAUUGAUGUCGUGGUUUGUCGGUCUGUAAAUUUCAUAUCUAUUCUAGAGUGCAUGGAGUGUCUAGGGGAGUAAUAGGUAAAUUCCUUAAACUCUGGGUUUUUUGCUCUCCAUGUAUCCACUAGUGCUAAAUUAUGGAAAAGGUCCCUAAACUUCUGUGCUGCUUUUACCUGUUUGGUUAUCAUUUUUUUCACUGUUCUGGCUAUGUCUUGGAUUGGAUCCAUUAUGCAAUUAAAUAUCCUGCUAUAAUACAUUUCCCUCUCUUAUAUUCCAAGAGAUUUUUGAGGGUAUUGUAGCUGGUUGUCGUUAGGGACAUAUAUAUUGAUCAGUGUGUAUACCUGGUCACCUAUAUUGCAUAUCAACAUCAGGUAUCUGCCCAUAGGGUCCGCAUACAUCUGGUGUAUAUGAAAUGAUACUUGGGAGCUUAUUACACCUUUUGAUUUGGUUUUGGAGUAAGCGUGGUAAUUGUGGGGAUAAUUCCUGUUAUAAAAGUUUGGGUGAUUAGACUUUUUAAAAUGGGUUUCUUGGUAAAAUAUCAGGUCAGCUUUGGCUCUAAAGCCUUAUUUAGGGCGAGAUUUUGCUUUUGUGGGGUAUUUAAUCCCCUGGCAUUUAUAGAGUAUACAUUAACCAUCUCUGCAUUUUGAUGUAUGCUUUACCCUUUGGGUUAUUAACAUUUUUGUCACAAAUAUUUUUCUCCCUUAGGACUUUGACCCGGUGAGUAAACAUAUAACAUUUAACUGGUAACUGUAAAGAGUUUAAUUUUCCCAGCUUCUGUUGCUGUAUUUCAGGUAGGUAGUGUAUUAUCAUUAGUCUAUAGGUUAGUUACCUUCCUGUGGCACAGUGUUAUUUUCCAGGUCUAGCAGCAUGCGUUUUAUAUCUUCCGCUGGUGCCAGUCCUAUCUCUCCCUCUGCAGUUUUUAUGGUGCUGAUUCUAAAAUGGCGUCUUGCGACACGUGUUUGGAGGGUUGCGGCGUAAAAAAUGCAGUUACCUGCUGUGAUGCUUUUUUGUUGGGAUUUUUAGGACCCAUGUCUAUUCAGCAGCGCUUUCUUGUCCCAGGUAUGGUGUAUGGGUUGGCUUUUUAGUGCUAAUUAUCGCUUUUUUAGCUCAGAUUGUCGGAGCUCGCCGGAGUUACAUACGUCAGGUUUGCUGGGUAGCUCCUCCCUCCCCAAGUGAGUGUGUAUUUGAUGUGCCCCCCCACCUCAGUCUCCAUGGCGCUCUGUGUAAUACAGAUAUUAUUGUGUUCCUACAGAUGCAGAGAGUGGGCCAAGGGAAUUUCCCAUCGGAGGGGGGACUGCAUCAGCUCGUUAAUGCAAUCCUCAGUCUGAUGGCCCAAAUACCUGUCAUUUUAAUUCAACCAUUGGGAUAAUAUACUGUAGGUGGGAAUAUCGGGAGACCUCGCCAAACAAGGACCUCGGUCCCAUGGUGCCUAUGUCCGCUGUUGUAAUUCGGUCAUUCAGCCCGGUAUCUCUCUCCUUAGGUGGGCAUCUCGGGAAGAUCCUCUCGUUUGGCAACCUCAACAAAUGGCAGAUCUUACCGUGAAUGGCCACCUAAAGUCCAGGUAUGUUCUUCUACAGAUCUAAUCUACUUCUUAGUGGGAUCUUUUCCAGCUUUUACAGAUAUAUACAGAUAUAUUGUUCUCUUUAUUGGUUUGAUUCAGAAUUCUGGGAAUCUGGCCUGAAAUUGGCCAGAUAUCGAUCGGGCAGGUUAAAAAAAUUUAGUUGGAUCUGGGACCACAUCCGCUCGUUGAUGAGGUCCCCGAACCGACUUUGCCUAUACCCGUCGUUAUAAUUUGAUCGUUUGGCCCCAGGGCUAAACAACCGAAUUAGCCUGGAUUCUCCCGAUAUCCCCCACCCAUGAACAUGUAUGGGCACCUUAAGUCUACAAUGUCCCCCAAACCAAAGAAAAAAGUUAUAAAAAGGAAAUAAAAAGGUAUAUUGUUGCAGCUGUAAGGGGUAACCCCUGGGCUGUUGUGGGGGGGGUUAAAGGAGAUUUCAUUUAAGGCAGCCUGUGGGGUUUGAGCAGAGCCGGGCUGGGCUCAUUGUCUGGGGUUGGAAGUUCUGAGCUAUUCAAGUAUUAAAGGUUAUGACAUGUUAUGUACUGUUCAAAAUAAAGCGGCUGCGGCCUUUCCCCACCAAU